rnacentral:rRNA from 1 species
GUGCCAGCAGCCGCGGUAAUACAGAGGGUGCAAGCGUUGUCCGGAAUCACUGGGCGUAAAGGGCGCGUAGGCGGCCCGGUAAGUAGGGGGUGAAAUCUCACGGCUCAACUGUGAGGCUGCCUUCUAGACUGCCAGGCUCGAGCACAGUAGAGGCUGGUGGAAUUCCCGGUGUAGCGGUGGAAUGCGUAGAGAUCGGGAAGAACAUCUGUGGCGAAGGCGGCCAGCUGGGCUGUUGCUGACGCUGAUGCGCGACAGCGUGGGGAGCAAACAGGAUUAGAAACCCUGGUAGUCC